UCCACUGUUGCGUUUUUCAUACGUACGCAUACGCACGUAAAACUUUAAAUCCGUUUAAAUGUUACUUAUGAAAUAACCAAAUAAAUAAAGCAACAGAAUUUAGUGUUCCGCAAGUUUUAAUAUGCAUUUGGUAACUUAUUUUUAAAAUAUUUAAAAAAUAGAAGGAUUCAAAGUUUUACGUGCGUGUACGUGCGUACGAAAAACGCAACAGUGGA
rnacentral:miRNA from 1 species